ACGGGGGGUGCGAGCGUUGUUCGGAAUUAUUGGGCGUAAAGAGCGUGUAGGCGGCUGAAUAAGUCAGAUGUGAAAUCCCUGGGCUUAACCCAGGACGUGCAUUUGAAACUAUUCGGCUAGAGUAGGGGAGAGGAAAGUGGAAUUCCUGGUGUAGAGGUGAAAUUCGUAGAUUUCAGGCGGAACGCCGGUGGCGAAGGCGACUUUCUGUCCCCAUUCUGACGCUGAGACGCGAGACCGUGGGCAGCAAACAG
rnacentral:rRNA from 1 species